UACGUAGGGUGCAAGCGUUAAUCGGAAUUACUGGGCGUAAAGCGUGCGCAGGCGGUUCGUUGUGUCCGUCGUGAAAGCCCCGGGCUUAACCUGGGAACUGCGAUGGAAACUAGCGAGCUGGAGUGUGGCAGAGGGGGGUGGAAUUCCGCGUGUAGCAGUGAAAUGCGUAGAGAUGCGGAGGAACACCGAUGGCGAAGGCAGCCCCCUGGGCUAACACUGACGCUCAGGCACGAAAGCGUGGGGAGCAAACAGG
rnacentral:rRNA from 1 species